CAGCCGCUUGUAGGACAUGUCCAGCAGCUGGUCCAGGUCCACGCCACGGAAGUGCAACUGGACAGCACUGACCCAGAGACAGGGGUUAAAAUGGACCUUCCUUCCUAUCAAGCCAUGGACUAAUGAUUAAGGAGUGGGACCAUUUAUCAGACCUGUCUAGUCUAUGAAUUCCACCCCAAGGGCCACAGUUGUGCACGGGCAUUGAGCCAAUCCCUGGACUUCUGCUGGCACGUGGGAGGAAGGACUCUCUCUUUCCAUGAGGAUUGCUGAGAGGAAGCCUAGGGCUGCCAGCAAUCAUCCUGCCACCGCACGGGAGGUGCACACCUGAAUGAAGGUAACAGCCGCAGAGAGCAAAGCCCACAUGGAGGAGCCAGGACAGGAUGGGGACAACAAGGCUUGAGCCCCUAGAUCCGGGCAUGCCUGGCCUUUUAGGCCGAGGACACUAGAAAGGUCAAGACAGCAGAGUGGGUUUCAAAGUGCUGAGUCCCUGUGCAAUAGGGCCCCUUCACAGCGCCCAGGGCCCAGCUCUCUACGUCCCUGAUAAACUACAGCAUGCAGGUGGGUGCAGAGACUUAGGUUCGUGUGCAAAGCUAAGAUUCCGUGCAGGGCUGGUUUCCAGGGGAUGUGACAUAUGCAGUGGCCCAGAGUCCCAUUUUCAGAAGGACUCAGUGUUUGGUUUAAUGCUUUGUUACCACUGUCCUGAAAUUCUUUAUAAUUGUAUUUUUUGAAUCUGUGAUUUGUACGUGAAAUCCAGUGGAGCAAUGGAGCAUGCCUGUGAGCAGAGGAGAC
rnacentral:lncRNA from 10 species